GUUCAUCAUCGCUGAGGCGUGUCACCGGUUGACAACAAUCCGGAAAUAAUGAGACUAGUUUUUCCAUUAAACUAACAAUCUAAACACAACAAUAAAAAAGUUUUUUGUUCAAAUUUUGAUAGAACGCAAAAACCAUAAAAUUCUUCAUUCAGGACCUGCAAAUUCCACAAGCAAACAAUUGUGAACUUCAAAUUCAAUUACACAGGUCCUAAACAAAGAAUUAGUGAAAAAAAUAUCAAUUUAGUCAAAUUUUCAAGUUUUCUUGUGAUAAAUCAAAUUAUCUCUCUUUAAAAAUAAAAUAUUUACUUCAGACAUGUUCGGCCGAUUGAUAGCGGUGCCAUCCCAACACCUGACGAUCAAAUCCUCGAUGACCGCCGGGCAGUCAAGGAUUAAUGGCGGCCGUUUGCCCUUGUACACCGACCACAUGAUCUGCAACGCGUUGAGCCCAUUGUAGAACGGCUUUUUACGCGUGAGCACCUCCCAGAAUAUGAUGCCCCACGAGUAUACAUCGCACUUCUCCGUAUAGUUGUUAGUGGAGAACACCUCCGGAGCCAUCCACGCCGCUGAACCCUUCUGAUUCGUCAUGUACGUCGAUUUGUCUGCCGCCGUACCAAAAUCGCAAAUCUUCAGUUGCACGCCGCUGUUAACGAGCAGGAGAUUCGGCGGCUUCAAAUCGCGAUGUAUCAGUGGUUUCGGUUUCAUAUUGUGCAGGUAAUUCACGCCCUACAAGAAGAAGUGCUGUACUAUUCUGUGUAUAAAAAGUUGAUUAAUGGUA